UACGGGGGGGGCAAGCGUUGUUCGGAAUUACUGGGCGUAAAGGGCUCGUAGGCGGCCAACUAAGUCAGACGUGAAAUCCCUCGGCUUAACCGGGGAACUGCGUCUGAUACUGGAUGGCUUGAGUUUGGGAGAGGGAUGCGGAAUUCCAGGUGUAGCGGUGAAAUGCGUAGAUAUCUGGAGGAACACCGGUGGCGAAGGCGGCAUCCUGGACCGAGAUUGACACUGAUGAGCGAAAGCUAGGGGAGCAAACGGG
rnacentral:rRNA from 1 species